AGUUCCUAUAUCGUCAUCAAUUUGGGAGGAGCUGUUAUCUUUUAGUCACAGCUGAAGCUGGCUCGGUGACCACUUGAAAAAGCUGCUUUUAAUCUAAAUCCAUCAGUAAUAUCGACAUUGUUAAAUAUAAAUCUGGAAGGGACCUCAGAGGCCCUUAUUCCAUUCUCUUCAUUUGUAUAUAAGGCCUUUUCUAGGGUCCCCCACAUAGUAAGCGGAAAAGAUGAGUUUAGCCCCGACGCUGACUCCACAGCCAGUUCUUCCACUGUAACCGGGGCCUCUACAAUAACUUUCAGGGACUUAAGGCAAUUUUCCCCCCUCCUGGACGGAAGGACACCCAUUCCACCCACAUAGUGCAUGUGCCAGCUUUUCUGCCGUUUACUAACUAGCUGCACUUUACUAAAAACGUUAUUGUCUGACUUUUAAGGCCCCUCGAAACCUUUUCCAGCUCAUCUUUCCAGGUUUAUCAUAUAUUUACCCCCUUUUACACUCUACAAUCCAGCUCUGAACAGCUGCAAGGAAGAAGGAAGAAAGGCAGUAGCAGAUGGUGUGGCAAGGAAUGGGAAUUUGAAGAGAUCCCAUAAAUUGGGGAAUGGAUGAACAACAUAGAACAUGUAAAUGUGACGAAAUACUAUUGUAAGAAAUAGAGAGGAUUUCAGGAUGAUGUGAGAAGACUUACAUG